rnacentral:rRNA from 1 species
GAUGAACGCUGGCGGCGUGCCUAAUACAUGCAAGUCGAGCGAACGGACGAGAAGCUUGCUUUUCUGAUGUUAGCGGCGGACGGGUGAGUAACACGUGGAUAACCUACCUAUAAGACUGGGAUAACUUCGGGAAACCGGAGCUAAUACCGGAUAAUAUUUUGAACCGCAUGGUUCAAAAGUGAAAGACGGUUUUCUGGCACCUUUAGAUUGAUCCGCGCUGCAUUAGCUAGUUGGUAAGGUAACGGCUUACCAAGGCAACGAUGCAUAGCCGACCUGAGAGGGUGAUCGGCCACACUGGAACUGAGACACGGUCCAGACUCCUACGGGAGGCAGCAGUAGGGAAUCUUCCGCAAUGGGCGAAAGCCUGACGGAGCAACGCCGCGUGAGUGAUGAAGGUCUUCGGAUCGUAAAACUCUGUUAUUAGGGAAGAACAUAUGUGUAAGUAACUGUGCACAUCUUGACGGUACCUAAUCAGAAAGCCACGGCUAACUACGUG